UUUGGCUACUGUUCGUUAGUUGAUGCUGAAACUGUUCUUACUGAAGUUUGAUUGAUAGCCUUAGACGGCCUUCUGCUUCAAAUUGAGGCUGACAACAUUGACUCUCCUGGUUCUCAGACCUCUGGAUAUGAGACCUCUGGCGCAACUCACCCCUGGCUUGCACCAAACAUUCUUAAAAUGUUUAUUGGGGUCAGGUGCAAUGGCUCGCACCUGCAAUCCCAGCGCUUUGGGAGGCCAAGGCAGGAGGACUGCUUGAGGCCAGGAGUUCAAGACCAGCCUGUACAACAAGACAAUUUGGCCAGGAAGUGACCAGCAAUGGAAAAAGGGAAAUAAUCAGCACAUCUGCAUGUGUGCCCAUCUCAGAGACACAAACUGUGAAUAACAACUCACUUGGCUUCAUAACCAAGACCUACUCUGAGGAAUUGCAUCUCUUCCUUGGAGACCUUGAUUGGCCUGCUAGGUUAAAGUAUAGACAGGAUUUCCACAUGUCGCCCAGGCUGAUCUCAGACUCCUGACCUGGAUCUUCCCACCUCAGCCACUGAACGUGCUGGGAUUACAGUUGAAGGUCUGGAAUGGAAACUCCUAUUGUGAUCUUAAGGGCUGUAACCCAGAGAAUCUGGUUCUUCCUGGAGUAUUUCAGCAGGGAUCAGCUUAAAUAGGUCUACUUGAAGUUCACAACUGCCAAAACCGCGUGUUCAGACUGAAAGGCUGGGAGCAUUUCAGACGCAUUUAUGAACUUCCACCAAGAUGAUCCGGCAGGCUGAAAUCGCAGGGAGAGCGUCUGUUCAACAAACCCUUUCUUCUUGAUUGAAUUAGUGUUACCCACUAACAGGAUGAGGAAUUCCCACUCCACAAGCUGACUUUUUUUCCUCUUUCCACCUCCCGCCUCCCUCCAUUAAAAUGUAAACUUGAUUCCUGUGUCCUUUGCCGGAGCCUGGCUUCCCUGUAAGCCCAUCAUAAACAUCUUGGUAGAAAUGCAA
rnacentral:lncRNA from 10 species